rnacentral:rRNA from 1 species
GAUGAACGCUGGCGGCGUGCCUAAUACAUGCAAGUCGAGCGAACAGACGAGAGUGCUUGCACUCUCUGACGUUAGCGGCGGACGGGUGAGUCACACGUUGGUAACCUACCUAUUAGACUGGGAUAACUGCGGGAAACCCGAACUCCUACCAGAUAAUCUUUAGCUUCGCAUGAAGCAGUAGUGAAAGACGGUUCUGCUGUCACUUAUCGAUUUACCCGCGGGGUAUUAGCUAGUUGGCCAGGUAACGGCUCACCAAGUCAGCGAGACAUAACCGACGUGAGAGGGUGAUAGGCGGCACGGGAAGUGAGACACGGACAAGAGGACUGAGGGAGGCAGCAGUAGGGAAUCUUACGCAGUGGACGAAAGUAUGGCGGAGCAAUGCCGCGUGAGUGAAGAAGGUUUUCGGAUCGUAAAACCCUGUUGUAAGGGAAGAACAAGUACGUUCGUAAAUGAACGUAGAUUGACGGUACUUUACAAGAAAGCAACGGCUAACUACGUG